rnacentral:rRNA from 1 species
ACGUAGGGGGCGAGCGUUGUCCGGAUUCAUUGGGCGUAAAGAGCUCGUAGGCGGUUCGAUAAGUCGGCGGUGAAAGUCCGGGACCUAACUCCGGAAGGUCCGUCGAUACUGUCGAACUUGAGUCUGGUAGGGGAGUGCGGAAUUCCUGGUGUAGCGGUGAAAUGCGUAGAGAUCCGGAGGAACACCAGAGGCGAAGGCGACACCCUGGGCCGUACCUGACGCGAAGACGCGACAGCACGGGGAGCGAACGG